UUUUUUUUUACUUAUGUAGGUUCUGUCUCUCUGAUUUUGUAAGCAACAGGCACUGUCCAGCAGGCUGCACUAUUGCAGGAGCAUAGUUCGGCUCCUAAGUAAGUAUUUUGACCACUUGACUUUUUUUAAUUUUAGGGAAAGUAAAGACUAGUUUGCAGCCAAUUAUGAAUUGUUUAGACACGAGAAUGUGCAAUUUUCACAUUUGUUGAAAGUGAUUUCUUCUUGCAAGUUAAGGAUGAGGACAUCAUCACUCAUUUCCAGUGCAUCAAGGAUCGCAAAAUUAUCCUGUAAUUUGUCAGCUUUUUUUAUCAUUUAUUAUUUUCUAUCCUCUAUAUAUCUUAGAUUUUGCCAUGCAGUGGCGGAGCUAGAAAGAAUAUUAAGGGGGUGCUAAACCAAAAUAUAGAUGCUUGGAAGGGCCAAAAGCUAAAUUUAUCUAAUCUAAGCAGCCCCAAAAAUAUUCCUUCAUGAUUUUUACAAAGGCUGGGGGGNNNNNNNNNNNNNNNNNNNNNNNNNNNNNNNNNNNNNNNNNNNNNNNNNNNNNNNNNNNNNNNNNNNNNNNNNNNNNNNNNNNNNNNNNNNNNNNNNNNNNNNNNNNNNNNNNNNNNNNNNNNNNNNNNNNNNNNNNNNNNNNNNNNNNNNNNNNNNNNNNNNNNNNNNNNNNNNNNNNNNNNNNNNNNNNNNNNNNNNNNNNNNNNNCCGCCCCUGUUGCCAUGAUAUGUUGAACAACUUUUUACUUCUAUAUGUUGGACAAUACCAAGUUAUGAUCAAUUUUAUAUUAUGUGGUAUCUCUUGUGUAGUUCAGAACUAGUACAAUAUGCUGCUAUAAUUGCUUUUACGCACCAAAAGGAAGGUCGUAGGCCAAAAAAAAGUUUUCAAAUUUUGAAUACGCGGUCUUGAAUUCCUAGGCCCGCCCUGCUUCAGAAGACUAACAUCUCUUCCUUUUUUACGUAGACAAUUCUUCUGUUCUCUUCGGCUACCUUUUGUAGACAAGGCCAGAAGUGAUCAUCGAAAUUACAAACUUGCUCAAGCAUAUUCACUAAACAACCACCCGUACCUAUAGUGAUCCCUUCCUUUCAAUUUAAUUAAUCAUAUUAUUUCGUCGCACACUAAGAAUUGUUGCUCUUUCCAAAGAGACUAUUUUUUGAGUUUGGUUUCAUAUAUCACAUGGUUAACUUUUUUAUUUUGUAGGGAGUAACCGAAAAUUGUCUUGAUUGAAAAGAUGUAUUUUUAUCUGAAUCAAGCUCAUCUAUUCAUGUUUGAUAAAUUGCACCUAUAUCCGGAUCAAAAGGCUUACUCAUACUUCCGCAGCAACGCGCGGGGUAUCAUCUAGUUUAGUUAGUGUUCACAUUUUUUUUCUUUCCCUACAUUAAAAAAUGAUCGACUUGAGUUUAUUCUGGAUGAUUACACUUUUUUACCCCUCACGAGUUCUAUCGAUUUUACAGAAAGAUACUCAUAGUUCUCAUUUCCAUAUUUUCAUAUCCAAAAUUUUAGGAUUUCACGCACCAUCUUUUCAGCUCCUCACGUAUACUACAAUUUUUGUUGAAAGGUCCUCAUAAUUUUUCAUUCAGCUAUCUGAGGAUGCACGACGCUCAUUUGUGUUCAGGUUUCCUCCUUUUUGACGAUUCAUGUGUUUUCUUUUCUUUUUGAAACGACAUUCAUUAAGAAAAGAGUUGCUUGGUUAAUUAGACCAUAUAUAUAUAUAUAUACAAUGUUGUGUCUCACUUUAUUCAGAUGGCACUUGAUGACUCUACCAUGGUUGCCUCCACCGUGUUUGAGCAGAGCAUGAACUUUAAUCUCCCAACAUUUCAAAACAUGGCUAAGGAAAAAAAAUGAUUGCUAUAACAAGCACAUCCCUGUACUGACUUCUCCGUCGCAAGGUUCAGAGGGGCAUUCCUGUACUGGCCUCUCCGCUUGUAAGGUUCAGAGGAGAGCCAUAGAGAUCCUUCUAUUGGUCAGGCUCGGGGCUACAUAAUUAUUCAUAAAUCCUAGAGUCACCAUAGAAGUUGCAUCCACCGACCACUCAAUCUUGCCCGGGGCCGGGGCUACUUCAGCGUACACAACACCUGCGCGACUUUGGGUGUCAAAACAGGCUAACAACCACCACAUGUCUUUCAUUUGCGUUUGCGACCUCAUGCGCAAGCCAGACUCAAACAGAGGCUCCCUACGUCACAAAACCAGAGCUCGCGGCAUGGUUGAUCGGGGGUCAUUCUACUAAACAAAAUAAAAAUAGAACAAAUGCAUUCAUAAAAGCAAAAACACAUACACUAUAUCAGGCUCCCUCUGAAGAGUCAUUUAAAUCUUCCACAAACCGCCUUGAGAUUUUUUGCAGGUCGCAGGCGCUAGCGGCGUACUCAGCCUCUCCAGCGACCUACUCGAAGUUGCUCUUUAUUUUGCGCUCACCUGGGUCUCCCGGACGAGGGAACGAACGCCAUCGUGGAAUAGCGGGAUCUCAUGCCAGCUAGCACCUAGCGGGCUCCUUCAUAAGCAUCAGACACUUGCUAGUCCAUCAAGUAGACAGAAGCUCGCUACAACAAUUCCACCGCACCUUGAAGAUCGCCCCACAGGUCAGGGGCAAAUCCUAAACGCGGUUCGUAGCGCCCGUUUCUUCGAUUUUCACAAACGGGCGCACACCCGUGCAGCAUGCUGGGUCGGCCCGUCUUGCAUUUUUUUUUCAUUCAAAUCUGAAGCAAAAAAGGGUGUGCACACGGGGAUUGAAACUCAUUAUCUUCUUUUAUUUUUUUCACUAGGUCGCGAGAGCUUUAGAGCCUAUAUAAUUUUUUAUUUUUAAUCGAAGACCUUUUUUUUCUUCAAAACCGAUGAACUUAUUUUCCAAAAUCCACGAACAUUUUCUAGAUUCAUCAACUAUUUUCAAAUUCGGUGAACUUUUUUCAAGUUUCUGAACUUUUCUUACAAAAUCGAUUGAAUUUUUUUAAAUUUUUUGAACCGUUUUCUAAUUCGACGAAAAAAGUUCACCGAAUUUUAUGAAUAUUUCUUCAAAUUCGGUAAACCUCUUUAAAAGUCGAUGUACUUAUCUAAAAAUCAGUGAACUUUUUUCAAAUUCAUGAACUUUUUUUGAAACCGAUGAACUAUUUUCAAAAUUAUUGAUUUUUUUUUCAAAUUUGAUGAACUUUUUUCAAAUUUGAUCAACUUUUUUCAAAAUCAAUGAUUUUUUUAAUUCCAAGAUCUUUGUUCAGAAUUACUAUUUUUUCUGUAAUUCAUGAACUUUUUCCGAAAGGUUUUCAAAUAAUUGAAAAAUCAAAGAUCUACAAUAAUUGUUACAUGUGCAAUAAAUUGCGCGGCUAUAAAUGUUCCUAAUUAAUUUGCCCUUGAAUUGGUCACUAGCAUGUUGGUCAGGUGGUUAGCCAUACUUUUUUUAGGGGUAAAGCACAUCUUUAUUCAUCAAAGUCCACACGCAGUGGGAUACGUCUUUGGUCAUAGGGCUGGCCAAACCACACAUGGCGUCCCAGACCUCUUGACAAAGCAAAUUUAGCUAAGUUAUGUGCUUCAUAGUUUGCAGCACGACUCUCGAAAGUAAAAAUACAAUGAAAGGUAGAAGCUCUAUGAUUUAUCUCGCUUAUAAUUGAUGCAUAUCCUCCUCUUGUACCCGUGUUGAUGUCCUGGAUCACCUGUCGGCAAUCUGAAGCAAUAACAAAAUCUCUGAUAUUGAGGUCCUCCGCCAGCGCCAGUGCCUCGCGACACGCGAUCGCUUCCAGAGUGGCUGAAUCGAGGGUUCCUUCAGUGACCAGAGCCGAACCACCAACAUAGCUACCACUCUCAUCCCUGCAUACCGCCGCCGCCAAACCCCCACGUGAUCGAACCGCUGCAUCGACGUGGAUUUUGCAAAAUCCUGGUGGUGGUCGUUUUGGUCUUUGAUGUUGCCCUGCUGGGGUCCCGGUGGCUAUCCUGGACCGUUGUUGCUUAUUGCUCAGGACUCCUAGUUCAUCGGUAAAACGUUGGACGAACAUGUGUGUCGCUUGGGGGCUCUGGAAAAUUCCCUCAUGAAUGGCCUUUCGACGAGCAUGCCAUAUUGACCAUAAGGUGACCGUCAAGAGUAUGAACUUGUCAUGGGAAAGCAAUUCCAUCAAGGUGAAUAACCAAUUCUUAGCAUUGGGCUCUGUUGUAGCUGUGAUUUUAUGUGUUACCGCUUCGUCUGUCAAGGCCCAUAUACUCCGUGAGGAUGAGCACUCCAACAGCGAGUGGCGCCACGAAUCUUGAACUCCGCACAAGCCACACUGUCCCGAAUCUGUCAUGUGCCGAUAUGCACGGACAUCAUUCGUUGGCAGAGACUAUUUUGAGAGUCUCCAUAGAAGCAUGCGGAUCUUACCCGGGACGUUAGUUUUCCAAAGAGAUUUCCAUGAUCCCUCCGCUGCUCUAGAACUUGACGGACCCGCCGUUCCUUCUAACCAAGCCUCCCUCCUCUGUCUUGUUGCUAUCAGCAUGUUGUAUGCAGAUUUAACAGAGAAGUUCCCUUUUUUGUCAUAGUGCCAGGCCCAAAAAUCUGGCAUAUUACGAGUACAUAGCGGGAUUCCCAGUAUUACUUGAGCAUCCAUUCGCAUAAACGUCGCCGUGACAAGUUCCUUGUUCCAGGCUGCUGUGGUGGGUUCUAUGAGUUCCGAGACCAUGAUGGGGCGGUGGAUUGUUAAACAACCGUAUGGUGGAAGCAUUGCAUCACGUGGUAGCCAAUACGUGGUUAGCCAAACUUAAAUGUUGUGUCACGGCGGCGUUGCCAAGCGCGACAUGCGCAUUCGCAGACAAAAUUGGGCCAUGUAUGUAUGGGCCAACGCUACAAGUUGAGACGGAGACCGGCCGAAAGAAGCUUGUAAUUAGCCCGUGGGCUCAUGGGCCUUGUGCUUGUAAUAAGCGUCGUGUACUGCCUGUGGAAGGAAACGAGGCAAGAAGAAGCACACGGCGAAGCCCUAGCUAGAUUCCGCCGCCGCCGCCGCCGCCGCCGCCGGCUCUAAUAAACCUGUCGAACCUGAUGGCGCUGCGCUCUCUUGUUAGAAAGAUGCCGGCCCUGGGUCUCAGGCCGCCGCCGACGGCCAACCUUAUGGGUCCCGUCCGGGCGCUGUCGCCGGCGGCGGGUUCUCGGCUCAUGUCCCAUGGGGCUCCGGUAAGCACCUCACCUUACUUCCUAAUUCGAUUCCAUCUGAUUUGUUGCAAACCAACUUGCCUCGUUUCAUCUAUCAAAUCAAUCACCGUUGUAUCUUUGUUGGCUGUCUCGAUGGUGGAAUUAUUUUCGAUAAGAUUCGACUGUUAGAGAAAGUUACUAUUAGGAGUUAUUUAGGCGAUUUAUUCAGAUUUUACAUAGUAGUCCCUCCGUAAACUAAUAUAAGAGUGUUUACAUCACUAGUUUAGUGAUCUAAAUGCUCUUAUAUUAGUUUACAGAGGGAGUACAAUUUUUGGGAACUAUUGGAUCUUCAUCCUGAGCCUAACGCGUUAGGUGCGUGAUUUGCUCACUCCUUUGCGGUUUGUGAGAUUCUAUUAUUUUCCUUAAAUUGUAGGCAAUCGAUCGCUUGUGCGCGGAGAUCUAUUCUGAAGACGAGAUGGCUAGGGUUCGGGAGGAAAUAAAUCGCCUGCGCGCGGAGACUGACCAGAACCGCAUAGAGUUAAAAAAGCAGGACGCUGAGGGGUUGAAGAUGAUUGAGAUGACCCAACAAGUCAUGGACGCAGCUGAAGCUUCUUAUAAUGAAGCCGCCAGGUAAAUGCUAAAUUUUACCAAUAACACAACAUUCCUCUUUUCAUUACAAAGUUGUUUUGUGAACUGUACAGCGUUAGGACUUAAAUUUUGUCAUAACAGUCUUUUACUCUUCUUCACUGCAACGUCGAUGCUAUCUAUUAUGAUGAUCAGAAAUAUUUUCUGUUUGUUGAGACCACACAUAGGGUGCUCUUUCUCUGAAAAAAGAUUUGCAUCAUCCAUUAAUUGAAGAGAGCUGCCCAAUUAAUGAACGGAAAACAAGGCUAAAACUGUCUAAUCCAUGCUUUUAAGUUAACUACGCCCAUGGUCUUUUCUUCUAGAAUGUAUGGUUGAUUGUUAUCCGUUAAUAAAAAAAUUAUUAACGACAAUGCUCGAAGUCAUCAGCUUUUAAUUCUCCAAAACUGAUGGUUCAGACAGAACCGUAUGUUAACGAAAAUUCAGUCUGUUUUGUGGCAUAUGGCCAACCAAAAUCACUUGCCUCUUGAGUAUAUCUGAUGAUUGAAAAUUAGGUUGUUUUUUCGCAUAUUGACAACCGAGAUGCCUCGUGGUGAGCUCUUAGCUUAUUUGAGCAUACAAUAUGGUUAUAAAUAUCUUUUAUGUUUAGCUAUGAGUAUGUAGCCUUAUAUUUACAUGAUAUUCCUACCCUAUUCUUAUCUAUUUUUAAAAGGGAAACUUUAUUAUUGUAAGGCUCAUCUAAUAUUUCAUGCAUGUGCAGGCAUAAUACUGAAGCCAUUAAAAGCAUAAUGGAAGAUUUUCGGAAAAUAGACAAGGCAUGUGACGUUGUUCUCAUUAGCUGUCCGCUGCUGAUUAUCCUUAUGGCCAUGGCUAUGUAGUAACUUCAGCAUGCGAUGUGCCGCUGGAUUUUAUUUAUGGUCUGUGCAUGUUUGGCUGUUGGCAAUUGGAAGAGACCUGUUUGUUAAGCACCUGUCUGUAUAUAGUUCAUAUGUGUGUCUAUAUAUAUUGAUUUGCUCUUUCCGUUGUCACGGCUAGCUUUGAAAACUGUCGCUUGUCUACCUCUGUUCCACGGCAGCACAUCACACAAAUCAGUGCAUGGAGCCUGGCUUAAAAACCUGAAAUGUAGACCUAGCUAUGAUGUUGAAUUAUUAUUUUUCAUCAAAACAAAGCUCAUGAACAAGGCCCUACCUCUGGAAACUUACGGCAAGUUCAUGUUCUCUGAGUCUGUGCUUCUCUGUUUGUCGGGUGCUAUUGGGCUGCACCUCUUUCCCUGCUUUUCGAAAUUAUUUUUGUCAUGCCAUGGGUCGCGCCCUGCUUUGUAAUGGGAUUGAUGCUGUUGUUGUAAUCUUCUGUGUUCUUGGAACAAAUUAGAGCCAGGGUUAAAUAUUUCAAUAAAAGCACAUUGGAAUUUUUGAAAUUUUUCAUAUUUUAGUGUGGUCCAAAGUAUUUCUAAUCCUGAAAUAUUGAGCCAAGUUAAAACUAAUUUUAAAAUAAAUUUAAAUCAGGCUAGAAUCCAAUGAAAUUUGAAAUCUCAAAAUCCGAAGUUUUGCAUAUUUCAUUGAUGCCUGAAAUUGUUUUGUUUACUGAAUUAAAAACAUUGAUCGGUGCCUAAUUUUCCUGCUCUGUUCUUGGUCCUCGAUUUGUGCUUAGUUUUCGACUGAUCUGUCUACGCGGUAACCUCAACCAACAAAUGAUAAGUUGGUCCAUGAGAUGAUUACCUCGAGCCUUUUUCGCUUGGGCGUGCAGUGUCUAUAAAGGCUCGAGUGGGUGGUGGGUGCCCUUGAAAGGAUUCAUGAGCUUUACAUAUGACAGCUUCAUCAGAAGAUUUUGCAAUGAACGCAAAGUACAGACGAGGACUAAACAUUGGACCUGUGAAAAUCUAGUAUACAACCACUUUACAUAUGACAGCUUCAUCAGAAGAUUUUGCAAUGAACGCAAAGUACAGACGAGGACUAAACAUUGGACCAGUGAAAAUUUAGUAUACAACCACUUUACAUAUGACAGCUUCAUCAGAAGAUUUUUCAAUGAACGCAAAGUACAGACGAGGACUAAACAUUGGACCUGUGAAAAUCUAGUAUACAACCACUUUACAUAUGACAGCUUCAUAAGAAGAUUUUGCAAUGNNNNNNNNNNNNNNNNNNNNNNNNNNNNNNNNNNNNNNNNNNNNNNNNNNNNNNNNNNNNNNNNNNNNNNNNNNNNNNNNNNNNNNNNNNNNNNNNNNNNNNNNNNNNNNNNNNNNNNNNNNNNNNNNNNNNNNNNNNNNNNNNNNNNNNNNNNNNNNNNNNNNNNNNNNNNNNNNNNNNNNNNNNNNNNNNNNNNNNNNNNNNNAUUGGACCUGUGAAAAUCUAGUAUACAACCACUUUACAUAUGACAGCUUCAUCAGAAGAUUUUGCAAUGAACACAAAGGACAUACGAGGACUAAACAUUGGACCUGUGAAAAUCUAGUAUACAACCACUUUACAUAUGACAGCUUCAUCAGAAGAUUUUGCAAUGAACACAAAGGACAUACGAGGACUAAACAUUGGACCUGUGAAAAUCUAGUAUACAACCACUUUACAUAUGACAGCUUCAUCAGAAGAUUUUGCAAUGAACACAAAGGACAUACGAGGACUAAAACUAAAACAUUGGACCUGCGAAAAUCUAGUAUACAACCACUGAACUGAUUACCUAAUCCUCCAUCCGGCUAACCCUCGUUGCAGCAGCAUUUUUAUCAUGCGGUACAUGGAAACAAGUCAUUUGGGGUCUGGAGUGAUGAUCACAAGCGCGCUAUGAGAAACAUUUCAUGGUUCCCUGGUUUGGUUUCCUGGUUUGGUUUCCUGGUGAUCAUCACUGGUCCCCGGUUCCAUUGCUCCGCCACUCCGAUCUUCGUUGUUGGAGAUCUUGAAGAGAAACAUUUCAUGGUUCCCUGGUUUCACCUGCUUGCAAUGGAACCGGGGACUUGUCGCCCUCCCCGACAGUCUAAAAAAAAUGAGAGAAGAGAAACAUUUGGAGGACCUCAGCGCAAGCACAUGAUGGCAUUACCGAUCGGGGGAGGGGUGCAGGGGGAGAGAUCCGUGCGAGUGGAUCGGUUCCAUUCACUUGCGCCGCCGCCCGCCGGGUGUAUAGUCGAUGAUGCGCAGGCUGUGUUCCUGUUCAGCAGCGCGUGGCUAUGGCGUCGAGGAUGGGCGGCAAAAUUCUACUACCUCCUUCCCAAAUUAUAGAACGUCUUACAAUUUGGGAGAGAGGAAGUACUAGUCGUAGGAUAUGCAGUCACAUCGAUGAUCCUUGGGCACAAUUAAGCGCGAGAAAUUGAAACAGACGAGCCGAAACCAUGCAUACAAAACCAACCCUGUAGCACCCAGAGACAACGCAUUUUGACCAGGAUAACAGUUCCUGCACAACAAGAGAGACUGAUGCCAUGCACCAGCUACAACCAAUUAUCAAUUCUGCUCCGCUAUAAGAAAAUUAAAAAAAAAUCAUAAAGUUGAAACCACCCAUUGUCAUGCUCAUAUUCAAUUUCACAUGCCUACAAGAAAUAAGCAUCUCAAUUGUCACAUCACAACAAUAUCAGAGUUACAGAUCUAUGGCAGCGAGAUAUAUUGUCACAGCACAACAAGAAACAAGGCUCGCAAGCGGAAAACUGAGAAUUGGAGUGGAAAGAAAGACAUUUAUUAUUUCAUACAUUACAACAGUUUGUUAAAAAAAAGCUUGAGGCGAGGCAUCUUUUGCCGGAUACUACAAUUGAGGAGAAGAAAACAUAAAACCAGCAUGAAUUGAACAGAAAAACAUUUACUAAUCAAUAAUCACAUCAGUUGGGAAGCACACCCACUCCAUAGAAUAUAAUACUUGGCUCUUUCUACCAUAUAGGCAACAUUGAAUAAUUCAAAUAAUUUGUUCUCACUACAACAUUGGUGUAACUUACACACACCAUUCUGACAUAUAAGAUCAAAAGCUAUAGUGAAUUAGGUAAACCAUAUAGCCUUAUAAUAAACAGCAGAUCAAACUUACAAAAGGGGGUUUGUCCAAAUCCUACCCAUGAAAAAAAUAUAGGUUGAUUUCGGGGCUAGUGGCUACCAAGUUUCCAUUUGGUAAUAAAGUCCUGAUAAACAUGUUGAGAACAAAAAUGAAGACCAACUAUACCAGACUGCAAAGUAGCAAGCAUAUGCAUUAUUAGUAUUUCUUGGUUAAUUCUUCACACUGAAAUCAAUAUGAAGAGCCUCAACAGAACGAGAAACUAUAAGAGGCAAGGAAAAAAUAUGCUAGAAGAGCACAAGCUUCCAACUCAAUGUGUACAACAGCACAAGGAUUAUACUGAGAUACUGAGAUAGUUCUAUACACCUUAAGGAGAAAUUCAUAAACAUGAAAAUUGUUCUGGCCAUCUAGAUACAAGUACUUAACAUUGAUGGCCUUACGAAUCAGUACAGCCAAAAUAAAAAGGCUGCAAAAAUAACAAAGGUUGAAAACUGGAAUUCAAUUGUUUCCUUUCCAGCAAUGAGAGGAACCCAAUCCAUACUUCUUAUAUUCAAAAAUCUAGCUAAAGGAUUCCCCCCAGAGAAAGUCAACAUAUACUAACACAGGAAAAUACACCACAAUCUCCACAAACUGUAACCAGAAACAAGGUCAUCACACAUUGCACCAUCCAGAAUGCUAAUUAAGCAAAAUAACAGAGGAAAGUAAACUCUUCCCAGCUAAAAAGGGGUAAAGGUGAAGCCAUUCAUUCUCAUGCUCAUAUUCAAUUCUGCAUACCGACCAGAAAUAAGUAUCUAGAUUGUCACAUCACAACAAUAUCCGAGUUAAAGAUCUGUGCCAGCGCCAUAUACUGUCACGGCACAACAAGAAAAAAGGCUCGCAAGCUGAAAACUUAGUACUGGAGUGCAAAGAAAGACAUUAUUAUUUCACACAUUACAAUGCGAAUUCAACAGUUUCUUCAAAGCUUAAAAGAUUGUUCUUGGCAAGACCAUGGGCAACAAGCAACAAGGUGAGGCAUCUUUUGCCAGAUACUAAUAUGACUGGGGAAACACACCUCACUCCAUAUAAUCAUAUACUUAGCUCUUUCUACCAUAGUUAGCUAAAUUGAAUCAUUCAAAGAAUUUGUUCUCACUCAAACAUUGGCAUAGCUACCACACACCAUACUGAAAUAAGAGAUCAAAAGCUAUAAUGAAUUAGGUACACCCAUAGCCUUAUAAUAAACAGCAGAUAGAACUGAUGAAAAAGGGUUUGUCCAAAUCCUACCCAUGAAAUAGAUUUGUAAGGGCUAGUGGCUACCAAGCUUCCAUUUGGAAAUAAAGUACUGAUAAACAUUUUGUGUUAUACUAGCCUGCCAAGUAGCAAGCAUGCAUUAUCUGAAUUUCUUGGUUAAUUCUACAAACACUGAAAUCAACAUGAACAUCCUCAACAGAAUGAGAAACUUGAAGAGGCAAGGAAAAAUUGUGCUAGGAAAGCACAACCUUUCAGCUCAAUGUGUACAAUAACACAAGCCUUAUGCUAAGUAAGAUUGUGCUAUAGAGAAAUUCAUAAACUUGAGAGUUGUUCUGGCCAUCUAGAUACAGAACAAAAUGUCAAAUUUAAUGAGAAUUAAUCAAGUACCUAACGUUGAUGGCCGUAGGAAUCAGUACAUGCAAGAAUAACGAAGGUUGAAAACUUGAAUUCAACAAAUGAUAUGGCUCUGAAUUUGGUUUUGUUUCCUUCCAGCAAUGUUUCAUUACUAAGGAUGAAGGAGAUGAAAAUUUAAUAGCAGCACAAAUUGAAGAGAAGAACAUCUACUAAUCAUAUGACUUGGAAGCACAGCUCACUCUAUAAAAUCUAAUGCUUGGCUCUUUAUACCAUAGUUAGCAACAUUGAAUCAUUCAAAGAAUUCCCACUCAAACAUUGGCAUAGCUUACCCACACAAUUCUGACAUAUAAGAUCAAAAGCUAUAGUGAAUUAGGUACACCAUCACCUUAUGAUAAACAGCAGAUCAAACUUAUAAGAAAGGGUUUGCCCAAAUCCUUCCCUAGAUUUCCCAGGGCUAGUGGCUACCAAGUUUCCAUUUGGAAAUAAAGUCCUGAUAAACAUUUUGUGACGAAAAAAGAAGACCAAUUAUACCAGCCUGCAAAGUAGCAAGCAUUCAUUACCUGAAUUUCUUGGUUAAUUCUUCACACACUGAAAUCAAUAUGAACAGCCUCGAGGAAAAAAUAUGCUAGAAGAGCACAGGCUUCCAACUCAAUAUGUACAACAGCACAAGGAUUAUUAUAGUAAGAUACUGAGAUAGUGCUAUGCAUUAAGGAGAAAUUCAUAAACUUGAGAAUUUUCCUGGCAUCUAGAUACACGACAAAAUGUCAGAUUUCAUGAGCAUUAAUCCAAUCAUGAGUACCUAAUUGUUGAUGGCCUUACGAGCCAGUACAGCCAAAAUAAGCAGGAUGCAAGAAUAACAAAAGGUUGAACAAGCGAUAUGGCUCUGAAUGUGGUUUAGUUUCCUUUCCAGCAAUGAAAGAAAACCCAAUUCCAUACUUGUUAUAUCGAAAUCUAGCUAAGGAUUCUCCCCAUACAAAGCAAGUCUAGUGUACUUAACAAAGACAUUCAGCAUAUACUAAUGCAGGCAGAUAGACCAUAAUUUAUAACAAGCAACAAUGUCAUCACACAUUGCACCAUCCAGAAGCUAAUUAAGCAAAAUGGCACAUUCACAUAAGAAUGUCUAGAUAGUAUGCUUGCAAAAAGAGGCAAAACUAAGAUGAUACAACCACCAGCGUUUGUUUGUGAGGCAAAACUAAGAUGAUACAGCCACCCGCGUUUGUUUGCGAGUCCCAUUUCCGCCUUAGCUAACUAAGGGGAGCCGCCUGAGC
rnacentral:lncRNA from 1 species